UACUCCAGGGGAUCUUCCCGACCCAAGGGUUGAACCCGCGUCUGUUACUUAUCCUGUAUUGGCAGGUGGAUUCUUUACCACUGUGCCACUCCUGUUUGGUGACCUCCAACUAGGAGCAAAUGGGUAGAAUUCACGAUCCAGAAGAAGAGCUCGAAAGAGAAGUAUGGACUUGGGAACAGAAGGGCCUAAUUGAAUUACAGCUCUGUGGGUAUCUCUUGAAAUCAAGAUAUUGUAUAUUAUAAAUAUUAUAUCACUUCAUGUAUAAGAUUCCACAGGUUCUCCGGGAGAAAAUGCCCACAUGGAGUUUCUGCAGGUUCCAGAGCCCAGAAGCCACAGGGUCCCCAGGGACAAAUCCAGGACAAGCCACAAGCAUGCCAAAACGGUGUGACACACAGCGGUGUGUAUACUGUCAGCACUGCUUUCUCAAUUCCUCCCACUCUCUCCUUCCACCGCUGUGUCCACAAAUCCAUUCUCUAGGUCUGCACUGGCACAAGAGGGAGGGGAUAUAUACGUAGUUCUGACUGAUCCAU